rnacentral:rRNA from 1 species
UACGGAGGGUGCAAGCGUUAUCCGGAUUCACUGGGUUUAAAGGGUGCGUAGGUGGGUUGGUAAGUCAGUGGUGAAAUCUCCAGGCUUAACUUGGAAACUGCCAUUGAUACUAUCAAUCUUGAAUACCGUGGAGGUCAGCGGAAUAUGUCAUGUAGCGGUGAAAUGCAUAGAUAUGACUUAGAACACCAAUUGCGAAGGCAGCUUGCUAAACAAAUAUUGACGCUGAGGCACGAAAGCGUGGGGAUCAAACAGG